UACGAAGGGGGCUAGCGUUGCUCGGAAUCACUGGGCGUAAAGGGUGUGUAGGCGGGUCUUUAAGUCAGGGGUGAAAUCCUGGAGCUCAACUCCAGAACUGCCUUUGAUACUGAAGAUCUUGAGUUCGGGAGAGGUGAGUGGAACUGCGAGUGUAGAGGUGAAAUUCGUAGAUAUUCGUCAAGAACACCAGUGGCGAAGGCGGCUCACUGGCCCGAUACUGACGCUGAGGCACGAAAGCGUGGGGAGCAAACAGG
rnacentral:rRNA from 1 species